CACACAUAGUUUUAUAAUUGAAAUAAUUACAGUUACAUGUUUUAAAUUAUAUAAUUAUAAUAUUUUUUCUAUAUCCAUCUUAUGUAUACACACACCUCAUUUUUCCUUAUUGAGUCAUUUGGGGUUUUUUGUUUUUUGUUUUUGAGUCAUCUGUUAAUGGACAUGUGGAUUCUUUCCAUACAUUGGCUAUUAUGUGUAAUGCUGCUGUGAACAUUUGAGUACAGCUGCCUUGUCAAGAUAAUUUUAUUUCCUUUGGAUAUAUACUUAGAAGUGGGAUUGCUGGUUGAUCUGGUAUUUCCAUUUUAGUCUCUUGAGAAACCUACACACUGUUUUCCGUAGUGGGUAUAUGAAUUUACAUUUCUAUUAAUAGUGUACAAGGGUUCCCCUUUCUCUACAUUGUCAACAGCAUUUAUCUCCUGUCUUGUUUAUAAUAGACACCCUAACAAUUGUGAGGUAAUAUCACACUGUGGUUUUGAUUUGCAUUUCCCUCAUGAUUUGUGAUGUUAAACACUUUCUUAUGUACCUGUUAGACAUUUGUAUGUGUUUGGAAUACAGGUCCUUGCCCAUUUUUAAAUUGGGUUAUGUUUUUUGUUUGUUUUGUUAUUUAGUUACAGGAGUUCCUUGUAUAUUUUGGCUAUUAACCCCUUAUCAGAUACGUGGUUUUCAAAUAUUUUUCUCCCAUUAUAUAGGUUGUCUUUUCAUUUUUCUGAUGGCUUCCUUUGCUCAGCAGAAGCUAUUUAGUGUGAUGUAUCCUCACUUAUUUAUUUUUGCUUUUGGUGUCUCAUCCAAAAAGUUAUUGCCACGAUCAGUGUCAAAGAGUUUAUUCCUAUGGAGUUUUAUGAUUUCAGGUCUUACAUUCAAGUCUUUAGUACAUUUUGAAUUGCUUUCUUGUGUAUGGUGUAAGAUAGGGAUCUAAUUUUAUUUCAUUUUAUUAUUUUUUACAUGUGGCUGUCCAUGGUUUCCAACACCAUUUGUUGAAUAGACUAUCUUUUCCCUGUUGUGUAUUCUUGGCUUCUUUGUUGAAAAUUAAUUGACCAAAGAUGCAUGGUUUUGUGUCUGGUCUCUGUAUAUUGUUCUAUUUUUUUAUGUUUGUUUAUUAUGUGAGAGAGCACAAGUGAGAUGGGGCAGAGAGAUAAGAAAGAGAGAAUCCCAAGAAGGCUCCAUUCUGUCAGCACAGGGACUGAUGUGGAGCUGAAACUCACAAACUGUGAGAUCAUGACCUGAACCAAAACCAAGAGUUGGAUGCUUUACUGACUGAACUACCCAGGCACCCCUGUAUAUUGUUCUCUUGAUCUGUCUGUCUGUUUGUGUCAAUACUGUCCUGUUUUGAUUAUUAUAGCUUUGUAAUAUAGUUUAAAAUUAGGAAGUGUGAUACCUCUGGCUUUGUUGUUUAUCAAGAUGUCUUUGGCUAUCCAGAGUCUUUUCUGGUUUCAUAAAAAUUUCAUAAUUUCCCUACUUUUGUGAAACAUUCAAUUGGUGUUAUAGAGAUUGCAUUUAAUCCGUGGAUUGAUUUGGGUGUAUGGACAUUUUAACUAUUCUUCCAAUCCAUGAAAACAGAGUAUCUUCUCAUUUAUUUGUUUCAUUUUCAUUUUCUUUCAUUAAUGUCGUGCAGUUUUGAGUAAGCAGAUUUUCACCUCGUUUCAAUUUAUUUCUAAGUAUUUUAUUAUUUUUAAUGUUAUUGUAAAUCAGAUGAUUAAUUUCUCCUUUUUAACUUUUUUAAAGUUUAUUUAUUUAUUUUGAGAGAGAGAGUGUGAGCAGGGGAGAGGCAGAGAGAGAGAGAGAGAGAGAGAGGGAGAGCGAGGAUCCCAAGCGGGCUCUGCACUGCCAGCACAGAGCCUGAUGUGGGGAUUGAACUCAAACCACAAGAUCACAACCUGAGCAGAAACCAAGAGUUGGACACUUCCCUGUCUGAACCUCCCAGGUAUCUAAUUUCUCCUUUUGAUAGUUUAUUGUCAGUAUAUAGAAACAGGACUGAUUCCUGUAUAUUGAUUUUUGUAUCCUGCAAUUUUACUGAAAUUGUUUACUAGUUUUAAAGGUUUUUUGUUGGAUUCUUUGCAAUUUUUUAUAUAUAAUAUCAGGUCAUCUGCAAAUAGUGACAGUUUUCCUUUUUCUUUCUGAUCUGUAUUCCUUUUAUUUAUUUUUCUUACCUAAUUGCAUUGUCUGGGACUUCUAGUACUGUGCUGAAUAAAAGUGGCAAGAGUGGCAGUUUUGUCUUGUUUCUUAGAGGAAAAGCUUUCUGCUUUUUACUAUUGAGUAUGAUGUUAGCUGUGGGUGUGCCAUACAUGGCUUUUUUUAAAUAUUGCAAUAUAUUUCCUGUAAACCCACUUUUAUGAGAGUUUUUAUCAUGAAGAGAUGAUGAUUUUUUUUCAAAUGCUUUUCUGCAACUGAGCUGAUUCUAUGACUUCUUUCUUUCAUUUUGUUUUUAUGGUAUAUUUAUUUAUUUGCAGAUGCUGAACCAUACUUGCAUCCCUGGAAUAAAUCUCAUUUGAUCAUGGUCUUUGAUCUUUGUAAUGUUUUGUUGAAUUUGGUUUGCUGAUACUUUGUUGAAAAGUUUUACAUCUGUAUUCAUCAGGGAUAUCAGCCUGUAAUUUUCUUGCGUGUCCUUGUCUAGUUUUGGUAUCAGGGUAAUGCUGGCCUCAUAAAAUGAGUUUGGGAGUGUUCCCUUCUCUAGGUUUUGGAAGAUUUUAAGAAGGAUUGGUAUUAGUUCUUACUCAAAUGCUUGGUAGAAUUUACUAGUGAAGCCAUCUGGUCCUGGACUUUUCUUUGUUGGGAUGUUUUUGACUACUGAUUGAGACUCCUUAAGAGUAAUUAAUCUGUUCAGAUGUUUUCUUUUUCCAUGAUUCAGUCUUGAAGUUUUAUGUAUUUUAGAACUUUGUCUAUUUCUUCUAGAUUAUCCAGUUUGUUGGCAUACAUUGUUUAUAAUACUCUUAUGAUUCUUUGUAUUUCUGUGUCUCAGCCAUUAUGUCUCUUCUUUUAUAAUUUUAUUUAUUUGAGUCUUCCUUUUUCUUGGUAAGUCUAGUGGAAGUUUUUUUCUGUUUUGGUUAUCUUUUACAAAAACUUGCUCUUAGUUUCACUGGUAUUUUCUAUUGUCUUUAGUCUCUAUGAAUUUCUGCUCUGAUCUUUGUUAUUUCUUUCCUUUUAUUAACUUUUGGCCUAGUUUGUUCUUUUCCUUGUUCCUUGAAGUGUAAAGUUUGUUUAUUUGAAAUCAUUUUUUUUCUGAUUGUAGGUGUUUACCACAAUAAAUUACCCUCUUAACACUGCUUUUGCUGCAUACUUAAGUUUUUUUAUGUUGUAUUUCCAUUUUAGUUUGUCUCAGGAUACUUCUUUAUUUCUCUUUUGAUUUUUUAAAUUUUUUUUGGAAUAUUUGUAAAUUUUACAGUUUGCUUGUAAUUGAUUUCUAGUUUAAUACCAUUGUGCUAAGGAAAGCUGUUUAAUAGGAGUUCAAUCUUCUUAAUUAUUAAGACUUGUUUUGCGGUCUAGUAUCUGUCUCAUAGAACAGCAGUUUGUAUUCUGCUGUUUUUGAAUAGAAUGUUCUGUGUAUAUCUGUUAAGUAUAUCUUGUCUAAUACAUAGUUGAAGUUCAGUGUUUCCUUAUUGAUUUUCCAUCUGAAUGAUCUAAUCAUUGUUGAAAGUGUGUUAUUGAAGUUCCCUGCUAUUUAUUGUAUUGUGUAUUUUUCCUUUGGAUCUGUCAAUAUUUAUAUAUUUAGGUGUUAAUGUUGGGUGUAUAAGUAUUGACAAUUGUCAUAUCCUCUUAAUGAGUUGAUCCCUUUAUCCUUAUAUAAUGACUUUCUAUGUCUCUUCUUACAAACUUUGGCUUGAAAUAUAUUUUUUUCUGAUAUAAGUAUAGCUACCCCUUCAUUAUUUUGGUGUUUAUUUGCAGGGAAUAUCUCUUUCCAUUCAUUCAUUUUCGUUCUGUGUAUGUCUUUAAAGCUUACUUGAAUCUCUUCUAGGCAGUAUAUAGUUGGGUCUCGUUUGUUUAUUUAAUUUUAUUUUUAAUUAAAAAAUCAGUUAAGCCACUUUGUCUUUUGAUUGGAGAUAUUAAUCCAUUUGCAUUUAAUGUACUUAUUGAGGGGUGAGUGUGAGCAUCGCACUGGGCUCUGUGCUGACAGCUCAGGGCCUAGAGACUGCUUCAUAUUUUGUGUGUCACUCUCUUUCUGUCCCUCCCCAACUCGUGCUCUGUCUCUCUCUCUCAAAAAUAAAUUAAAAUUAUAAAAAAAAACACAAAAGGCUAAUGUACUUAUUGAUAGGUUUGGACUUAAUGGUGCUAUUUUAAUUGUUUUCUAAAUUGUUGUUUUGUAAUGCCUUUGUUUCAUUUCUCCUCUCUUAAUCUAUUAUUUUGUAAUGUGAUAAUUUUUUAUAGCAGCAUGCUUUGACACCUUUCUUUUCAUCUUAUGUGUAUCUAGUAUAGACUUGUCCUUUGUGGUUACCAUGAGGAUUACAUAAAAUGUCUUUUAUGUACAGCAGUCUAUUUUAAGCUAAUAACUUUAAAUGUAUACCAAUGUGCCCCUAACACAACAUAUUACGUUUUUGAUGUCACAGCUGGCAUCUUUUUUACAUUGUCUAUCCAUCAACAAAUUAUUGUUAUUAUAGUUGUUUAAUUGUUUCUUUUAAUCUUUAUUGUAGUUAUAAGUGAUUUACUCAUUACUAUUACAACCUUAGACUAUUCUCAAUUUAUAUUUUUACGUUUACUAGUAAUUUUUAUACUUUAAUAUGGUUUCUUAUGAUUAAUUAAUAUCCUUUUUGUUUCAGCCUGAAGAACACCCUUGAACUUUUAUUAUAGGGCUGUUCUGGUGGUGAUAAACUCUUUGAUCUUUUGUUUGCCUGGAAAGUUCUUAAUCUCUUUUAAUUCUGAGGUCUGAGGAACUACUUUGCUGGGCAGAGUAUUCUUGCUUUGUUUUUUUUUUUUUUUUGUUUGUUUUGUUUUGUUUUUUGUUUUUUUUUAAGCAGUUUGAAUAUAUCCUUAUUCUCUCUCUUGUCAGUAAGGUUUCUGUUGAAAGAUUUAUUGAUAGUCUUAUGGAGGUUGCCUUGUAUGUAACAAGUUCCUUUCGUAACAAGUUCCUUUCUCUUGCUGCUUUUAAGAUUUUAUUCCUAGUCUUUGAAAAUGUAAUUAGAAUGUGUUUUUUUUAUGAAUCUUUUUGGGUUUCUUUUAUGUAGUAUUUUCUGGGAUUUGUGGAUCUGGAUAUCUGUUUCUUUCCCCAUUUUAGGGAAGUUUUCAAGCAUUAUUUCUUUGAAAAAGCCUUCUGAUCCUUGUUUCUAUCUCUUCUUUUUCUGAGACAUCUAUAAUGUGUAUUAUUGGUCACAUUGCUGGUGUUUCCUAAGUCCCUUAAGCUAUCUUCACUUUUUCAAUAAUUUUGUACUCUGACCGGAUAACUUACCGUUUCCUCAAUUUUGCUAAUUUUUCUUUCACUUGUUUUAGUCUACUUUUAGACCCUUCUAUAUGUAGUUUUUUAGUUUAGUUAUUGUAUUCUUUAGCUUUGUGAAUUUAGUUUGCUACUUUUUUUGUUUACAGUUUUUGAGGUAUACCUACAUACAAUGUUACAUUAGUUUUAGAUGUACAACAGAGUGAUUUGACAAUGCUGUACAUUAUGUAGUGCUCACUACAGGAAGUGUAGUUAACCAUCUGUCACCAUACAAAAUUAUUGCAAGAUUAUUGACUAUAUAUUUCCUAUGCUGUACUUUUACUAGUGACUUAUUUUAUAACUGAAGAUUUGUACCUCUUAAUCUCUUUAACCUGUUUAGCUCAUCCCCCCCAACCCUCUCCUCUGGCAAUCAUCAGUUCUCUGUAUUUAUGAGACUAUUUUUGUCUAUGUGUGUGGGGUGUGUGUAUAUCUGUGUUCAUUUCUUUUGCUUUUUGGAUCACACAUAUAAGUGAAAUCAUAUGGUAUUUUUCUUCCUUUGAUUUAUUUCACUUAUCAUAAUAACCUCUAGGUACAUCUAUGUUGUUGUGAAUGGCUAGAUUUCAUUCUUUUUUACAACUGAGUAACAUUCUAUUGUAUAUGCAUGCCACAUCAUCGUUAUCCAUUAAUCUGCUUGAUACAUUAAAGAAAAAAAAAUUAGGGGCCUCUGGCUGGCUCAGUCAGUAGAGAGUGAGACUACCGAUCUCAGGUUGUAGGUGCAAACCACACAUUGGGUGUAGAGAUUACUUAAGAAUAAAAUCUUGUAAAAAUUUUUACUAUCUCUGUUGAAAUUUUCACUUUGUUUAUGCAUUGCUCUCCUGACCUUGCCAAAUAUGUCUGUGAUCAUUAUUUUGAACUCUCUUAUCAGAUAAAUAACUUACCUUUUAAUUAGAUUUGUUAACAUUAAUUAGAUUUAUUAGAAUAGUCUCUUCUAGAUGAACCUCAUUGAUCAAUUCAGCCUAAGUUCCUAGUUAUCUUUCAAAGCUUUGUGAUGUCCAAGCCUUCUUUGUGGCUCUCAUUAGUUGUGGAUGUAGCAAGACUCAUUAGUGUCCGUACCAAAGGGGAGGAUCACAAUCAGCACCUAAUUACAGGCUGAUUAGAACCUUGCAUCUUAGGCAGCAGGUGGGAAACUAUAUAAUUAAACUCCUUCCAGAGGUUAACCUGUGAUAUGGGCUUUUUUGUCUGUUCCGUUGGAUGUGGGCCUGGAUAUAUAGCCAUUGGAGUGUGCUCCUAAACCAUUAAAAACUACUUUGCUAAAGUCCUGUGGAACUUGUGAAUGCAAGCCCUCUUGGCUGUUAGAGCCAGGUGAUCUUGCAGCCUGUCCCUCAGGUGACUGCUACAAAAACUGGGGCACCAGAUAUCUGUAGAAAGUUCUUCCAGGGAUAUAAUGGUAAUUUGGUUUUAUUAUUGGAGUGGGAUAAAGGGAGAAGGUGUGAGACAUGUCCACCCACUUCCUUGUCCUCUGUGAAAGAUUUCAGCCAGAUCCUAGAUAUUUGCCAGAUUAGAAGCCUGGCCCUCAGGCAGCAACUUUUAUAGUAUUCAGAUAAACCUCUUAUGGGAAAGCUAGGGAAAUGGGCAAUUUUAUUUUCUCCUUAUGAACUGAUCUCUGAUGGGAUAGCCUCUUAGAAAUUGCUUAUUUGUUUGCUACAGGCCUGUGGGACUUGUGAAUGGAAGCCCUUUUAGCUAUGGAGUCAGACUGACCCUUCCUCAGUUCACAGCUAUGAAAGCUCACUAGACUAGUGAGAGGAGGCAGUGGUGUCUACUUCCCAGUCUGUGGGAAAGAUGAUGGCCAACCCCUAGAGCAUACUAAAUUAGAUGACUGGCCUUUAGGCGGCAGCUUUCAAAUAAUGCGGGGAAGUCUUUUUUCAGAGAAAGACUGUGAGAUGGGCAAUAUUGCCUGUUCUCUCCUGGGCUGAUUCCUGGAUUGAUAGCCCUGAUGAAUGCUUGCAUGCCUGGUAAGAAUUACUUCUUUGUUUGCUAUACUCUUGUCAGGUUUUUGGAUGCAAGCUUCCUUGGCUUUUAGAGCUAGGGGUUUUGUAAACCCAACCCUCUCUCUGGUGGGAGUCUUAAAAGUUGGGGUGCUAGAUACAAGGUUCAAGCCCUUUGCUAUUCAGGAAGAAGCUAGAAGUUGGGGGUUGCUUAAUGAUUGAUUGUGUAGUGUUAUCCUUGGGGUUUGUUUAUGGUGACAGUGUGUCUCCGCCUGUACUACCUGUUUCCGUGUGGCGAUUUUCUCAUUUGUCCAAUGUGUAGGAGUAGCUAGCUAGUUUCUAGAUCUCUUUCAGAGGAAAUUGCCCAAUAUAUAGCUAUACAUUCAGUCUGUCCGAGAAAGGAGAUAAGCUCAGGAGUCUCCCGAGUCACAAUCUUGAGUGGUCCUCAAUAGUUUGAAUUGUGGUUCUCAGUCAACAUUUUUGCCUUUGCUCUAACAUUUUUUUCCAAAUUCAAAGUAUUUUCUUCAAUAGUAUUUUUAAUAACGCAAGUUUAUUUGACCUUGGUAAAAUGCCUUACUUUAAUGACAGUGUAAAAAUAUUUACUUCUGCCAGAUCUUUUCCUCAGGUGUGAAAUCAUUAUUCAGGAGUUGUAUUUUAGUUCUUUGUGGACUUAGUCUUUCAUAUAAGGAUUGCUUAACUUUAAAACAGAACUAAAUUAAGAACAUAUAAUUGUGGAAUAUCAGAGAAAAUGUCAUUAGCUACACAAAUACAUAUGUCCUUCACUGUUUUUUUUUCUUUAAAGAUAUUUUAGUUUAUUGAUUUCCAAUUUUUAUUAUGGUUAUUUAAACAUAUUCUCUAUUAGUUGAAUGAUUUUUGAGACUUGGUUUUUGGCCUAAUAUGUGGUUGAUCUUGGUAAAUAUACCAUAGAAAAUUUGAACAAAAGUACAGUUGUUCUAAAAUCCUUGGCUAUAGUGUUUUAUAAAUGUCCAUUAGGAGAGGGUUGGUGGUGUUCACAUCUUCCAUGACUGAUAUUUUAUCUUGUACUAUAAAUUAAUGAAAGAGUUGAAGUUAAAUUCAUCAGUUAUGAUUGUGAAUUUGUGUUCUACUUCAUUUCUUUUGGUUUCAUUUCACAUAAUUUGAAACUUUUAUUAGUCACAAACAUUCAUGAUUAUUAAUGUAUUCCUUAUAAUUUGACCCUCUUAUAUUAUAAAAUGUCUCUAUCUCUGGUAACAUAGUCUUGAAAUUUAUCUGAAAUCAAUACAGCCACUCUAGCCUUCUUAUGCUUCCUGUUUGUAUGGAAAUCUUAUCUUUUUUUUUUUUUAGCCUGUAUGUUUAUAUGUAAAGUUUUGUCAUUUUAGAUGGCAUAUAGUUGGUAUAUGUUUUAAGUUUUAGAAGUUGGAUUAGUUAUUAAAUUUACAUUUAAUUUUUGAAACAAUAGAUUAAUGUCUACCAUUUUUAUCAUUUAUUUUUAAGUCUGAACUCUCCUGCAUUGUCUCUCUCCUGUUUGUUUUUGUUGUUGUUGUUGUUCUGUUUCCUCUUUCCUGCGUUCUUUGGUUGUUUGAAUUUCUUUUUCAGAAUUCCAUCUUCUUUUACCUUUUUAACUCUACCUCUUUAUAUAUUUUAGGGGGUAUUCUAAUGAUUAAGAUAUAGAUAUUUAAUUGUUUGCAAUAUUUUGAGACUAAAUCUUAUAUCACUUUACAAAACACAAGAAUCUUGCAACCAUAUAUGUCAAUUUUCCUAGUCUCUGACCCUUUUUAUGCCAGUUGUCAGAUAUCACAUGUGCCAUUAAUCCUACAGCCAAUGAUAAAAUUGUUCCAAGUAGGUAUGUUUUUGAAAACAUCAUUUUCAAACAAAAUUCAAAACAUUUUCAAAACAAAAAUUCUAUUUAUUUAUUAACCAGUUCCAGUGGUCUUCUAUCCUGAAGAUCCAUGUUGCCUGCUGUUAUUAUUAUCUGCCUUCCCAAUGAAUUUUCUUUAGCACUAGCACUACUGGUGAUAAUUUUUCUGUUUUCUUCCAUCUCAUAGGUUUCUUCUAUCUGAGAAUGUCUUUAUUUAGCAUUAAAAAUUUUUUUUAAGUUUGUUUAGUUUUGAGAGAGAGACAGUGAGCCAGGGAGGGGCAGAGAGAGGGGGAAACACAGAAUCUGAAGCAGGCUCCAGGCUCUGCGCUCUCAGCACAGAGCCCAAUGCAGGGCUUGAACUCAAGAACUGGAAGAUCAUAACCUGAACCGAAGUCGGAUGCUCAAUUGACUGAACCACCCAGGUGCCCCUUUAUUUAGCAUUUUUAAAGCAUUCUUUAGUGAGGUAUAUUGUUACUGAAUAUAUAAUUAUCGUUUGACUUUUUUAUCCCUAGAAUUUUAAAGAUAAUAUUAAAGAUAAUACUGCAUAUUUUUUUAAUUUUUUAUUUAUUUGUUUUUUAACAUUCACUUUUGAGAGAGAGAGACAGAGCAUGUGUGGGGGAGGGGCAGAGAGAGAGUCCAGUUGCAGAAUUGAAAGCAGGCUCCAGGCUCUGAGCUGUCAGCACAGAGCCCAACAUGGGGCUCAAACCCAUGAACUGUGAGGUCAUGACCUGAUCCAAAGUCAGACCCUUAACCAACUGAGCCACGCAGGCACCCCUGUUUUUUUUAAUGUUUGUGUAUUUUUGAGAGAGAGAAAGAGAGUGAGCAUAGGUGGGGGAGGGGCAGACAGAGGAAGACACAGAAUAUGAAGCGGGGUCCAGGCUCUGAGCUUUCAGUGUGGAGCCGGCCGAUGGGCUCAAACUCACAAACUGUGAGAUCAUGACCUGAGCUGAAGUGAGAUGCUUAACCAAUGAGCCACCUAGGUGCCCGUUGCAUAUUUUUUUCAUUGAAUAUAACCACUUUCUUUGGAUUGCAGAAACAAAACUUUGGCUAACAAAGCAGGAUUUGAUACUUUAACAAAGGGUAUUUCUGAAGAGCUCUUAACAGUUUUAUUUGUCUUCCUCUCUGUUUCUCUUUCACAGUUUUGAUAAAAUGAGCUCCUUUGGCAGGGAAUACACAACGUUUUAUAUAAUAUAAUCAUACCAUGUUUUUAAAUGACUGGUUUAGCUUUCAUAUUUCCAGCGAAAAAGUAAGAGAGUGUGUGGAUAAUUAUGUUAAGGAGAAAAGCCAAGAGAAAAUGAUUAGGGUGAAUUGAUGACAGAAAUAUCAUUUCAUUUAACUAAUUGGUAACCCUACCAUUAUGGUCAAAGAAUAGAAAUAUGGAAUAUUUUGUGUAGUAUACACUGUUAUUAACAUUUUAUGUGACUUCUCUUACUGUAGAAUUAAUCUUGAAAUACCAUCUUUUUAUUGAAGAUAAGUGGGACAUAGGCAUGUUACAACGUGAAUUUGGGAAAUAUAAAAUUUGAUUUGAAUGGCAUUUUUUGUCACUUUGGCAUGACUCCCACAUGUCAACCCCAUGACAAUCAUUCAAGAAAGUAAAGCUGUUGCAGUUUUUGCCAUGCAUACCAUCAAAACAUAUGAUUGUUCUAUGAUGUUAUGAGAAAUUUAGAAAUAAAAUUCCAGUGGACAUGUAAGAUAAAUAUUCCAUGUUUUUGUGGAAACAAAUGCUCAGUCUUGAGAAACACUAUGAUGUUGUUAUGUCUUAUGUUAAUGAUUCUUAAAUUCUGCCCAAUUCUACUUUUAUCUCUCAUCCAUCUACCUAUCGAUUUAUUUUCCAUAAUCUGUCUGUAGUAUAUCUCUUCCUAUCAAUAAUCUAUCAUCCAUCUUACUCCAUCUUACUUGUUUACCUAUCAUCUAUCUAUGUAUCUGCCUGUCUAUAUAAUCUUUUUUUUAAUGUUUAUUUAUUUUGAGAGAGGGACAGAGAGAUAGUGUGAGUGGUGGAGGGGCAGAGAGAGAGGGAGACACAGAAUCCAGGCUCUAAGUGGUCAGCACAGAGCCUGAUCCAGGGAUCUAACUCAUGAACUGUGAGAUGCUAACCUGAGCUGAAGUCAGACACUCAACCCACUGAGCCACCUGGGCAUCACUGCCUGUCUAUGUAUCUAAUGGCAGGAUGGAUAUAUAGUUAUAAGAGACAGAAGAACAUAGAAAUGGAGGACCAAGGGAGUUACUUUGCAUGUGUGUGGACAGUGGUAACAGUGGUCUCUUUGGUGAUGAUGUAUAGAAAGAGAAAGCAAAAAGAGAGCAUGACUACUGAGGGCCAUUAAGUCAGAGACCUACCCAGAAAGAAUUCUGGCCUUAUUACCAUACUUGAUUUCAGAAAACCAGAACAAAGCUUCCUCAUCCUAUAAGCUGGAAAUGGGAAAAUAUAAACUAAAUAUAAUGACUCUGCUUUUCCAGCCUUCCUAUACUUCCAUAUUUUAAUAAUCAAGUUUUAAUUACUUGGAAUUAUUGCCUCAGUCUGUAUUAUACUAGACCAUGAAUUGGCAAAUCUUUUCUGUAAAGGAGCAAAUGACAGUUUUACUUUUUCAGGCUGUAUAAUCUCUGUUGCAAUUAAUCCAUCCUGCUGUUGUAGUAUGAAAGCAGACAAACACAGUGUGUAAUUGAAUAAGUGUUGCUGUAUUCCAGUAAAACUUUACAACAGCAGCCUAUAGGCUUGAAUUACCAAUUCCUGAACUAUAGCAUUGGUUAAACAAGAACCUGAACAAUGAUCAGAUUAACUCAGACACAUAGUAAAAAUAUCUAAGAAUUACUUCUCCAUUUUAUUUUCAUUAAAAUUAUUUUCCCUCCUUUGCCGUAUUUUCUUCACAAGAGAGUCCUAUGAGUGCUACAUUCCACCAUAAUCUAAACAAUGUAAAACCAGCACUGUAUAAAGAAUUAGAGUGACAUGAACUCCUUUCCUGUUAUAACCAAUAAAUUAUAUUUCAAAAUUGAAUGUAUUUCUCUCAUAUUCCAUCUGUAAGGUUGCCAAGGAAUUUGUGACCAAAAUCUUGCCUGAUUUCUUUUCUCCUUCAGCAUAGUUUGAAUCAAAAUGGUAUCUCUGAGCUUCCUUCAUUGUAUCCAGGCUCCUUAUACAAUGACUUUAGUCUGUUCUGAUUUCAUCUGAGCAGUUGUAAUUGUUUCAGCAUCCCAGAACAGGAUUCAUAUAUUCUAAAUCUAUUAUUUAACCUAGUUUAUAAAAACUUGAAAUAGUCAACAGUACACGUCUUCCAAGUUUACUCUUGUUUUCUCAUGUUAAUUGCAUGGAGGGUUUAGACGAGAAAAAGUCUCUAAAAUCUGGUAACUUAAAAUUACACUUGGGCUAUUUCUGUUUUUGAAGUCAAAUAAAACAUAUAUUUACUUAAAAUUUAUAUGACCAAUUUUGUGUUAAUAUUCUAUGAAAGCCUCACUCAGAUAAGCAUCCCAGUACAUAAUUGGGAUAUAGAUAGGAAUAAUUCAGAAAAGAAAAGCAUUGUGAAUGGCCAGGAGCAUAUAAUAUGCUCAACCAUACCAAUCUUUAUAAUAUAUAUGAAAUAAUUAUAAAUUAUUAUAAAUAUAUAAUAAAAUUAAAUGUAUUUUUGCACAUACACACACACCCAUAAUGCAAUAAGUCAACAAUUGUCUUUUUUCACCUAUCAGAUUAAAAGGUAUAUUUGUUAACCAACCAUGGAAAAUUUGGCAGUCCUGGUGUUUUAUAAUCUUUCCAGAAGACAGUGGAAAAUAGAUGGAAAUUAGCACAUUUUGACUUACAAUUUUAUUUUUAAAAAUUUACCUAAGUGUUCAAAGAUGUAUGUAAACUCAAGGAUAAUCAUUACAGCCUUAGUUGUACUUGUAAAAUUGUUAGUAACCUGUUUAUCUAAAGUCAUGAUUUUAAGUAAAUUAAUGUUGAUACAUUUAUCCAACUUGUUUAUAUUCUAUUCUAUCUGGUAAUGUAUGUUUAAAUUAAUUGGUUUGAAAACCCAGGCUUUAUAUACCCAUUAUUGAGUACCAAGUAUGUUUGAGGCAAUAACAUUGUAUUUCAUUCUUGUAAAAUGAUAUACAAAUGUGAUUGUGCAGAUAUGGUCAAUAAACCAAUUUUAUAGGAAGAAUAUUUUAAAAUGUUGAUAAUGAGUUCUGGUCAUUAUUUUGCUAUUUCAUUUUUGUGUUUGUGUGUGUGCGUGUGUGUGAUUUCAAAUACACGUAUUUCAAUUACAAAUAGCAUUUAUUGAGUUCUUAGUGUAGGUACCAAAUGACAAGAUAAAUGCUUUCAUGAACUAUCUCAAUUAAUUCUAAUAGUAAUUGUACAGAUAUUUAUUACUUUUUAAAAAAUAAAAUAGAAACAGUCUGUGCUAGAAACUGAGUCUGAUUGUGUAAAUAGGUUGUGUUUGAUUAUGUGAUUCAUACUAUUACUUUCAACUUAAAAAAAAAAACCCACAACCCUAUGGUAUAACAGCCAUUGGAAGAUAAUUAAAAGUGCUUGUAUUUUGCCUAACCCAUUGAGUAAAACAAUGUUUUGGGGAAGAAUGCAUAUUUCUGAGGUUAUAUUCAUUCUCCCUGUGUUUUUAAGGUCAGAGCCAUAAGAAUUUUCCAGUGCAAUUCCUCAUGCUAAAAAGUAUAAGUAUUGAGAUAUUGUAAGAAUAGGAGAAAAUUAUGCCAAGAUACUGGUUUGUGGAAAAUUCCAUGGUGUAAAGCUACAGACAAUGAUCUCUGGAAAUAUGGGGAGGCAGUGCUUAGGAGGUGGGAUACUGUCUUCCUCAGCAGAAACCACUUCAUAGAUAGAGCUCUGGGAUCCCAUGGGAGCACAGUUCAAAGUACAAACCAAUGGCCAACAGGAGGAGUGUCACUAAAUGGAAGAAACCACCUUUGGAAGAGAUAUAAUGAUAGGCAAUAUCCAAACAUAAAUACUGCAGAUAGUAGGGGGAAAGCCAGUGAGGAUCUCAGAGUGAAGACACAAUCCCCAACUGAUAGAAACUUAAAUGUUAUAAUCUCAUAUUGGAAUAUUUUGUGUGUGUAAUUUAUGACCAUAUAGUCUGGAUUCUAAACUAUCUCCUUUGACUAUAUGUUUCAUAAUCAGUUCACUUUCCCCCAGUUAUCUCCAUUCAUUCGAACCCUUUUCUGAAGCGCACACUUUGUGUUUUGCAAGUAUAAUUAUCAACUCAUAGCUAAUAGGUAAAAUGUUGGCCAAAAUAAUAAAGAGAAUUGUGACAAAUUCUGCCUGACUAUGCCACAACAGUGGCUAGAUUAUGUUUAGAAAAAUUGGUUUAUAGUUUCUAACUUUGCCUUUUUAUCUUCUGGUAUUUUGAGGGGGAAAUGGACUAUUUAAGAUACUCCCAGUUGGGGCUCUGGAACAUCGUGGAAACCGAAGGAGGAGUAGAAGUACAGAAGGAGAAAGCUUUCAUAGAUGGGUCAAAGACUGGAACAACUUACCAUACUUCAGGGAAAAGAGAUGAACAGCUGUUCUGAUGCUUUUGAAAUCACACAGGAUUUGUGGCCAGUGAUGUCAGAAAUUCGGGAUUCUAGGCUCAUUAUUUCAGAGGCCCAAGGUAGAAUAUUUUUAUAAUAGGCUUCUCACCCACAAGUGCCUAGUUUCUUAAAUAUUCAUUAUUAUUAAUUUCCCUCAUUAAGCAAAAAAAAUCUCUUUGAAGUAACCUGAAUAAUCUCAGGGAAUCAUUGAUAUAUAUGCAAAUUAUCUUGUAGAGAUAAUUAAAUGUGCCAAAAUAUUUAUUUAUCUUUUUAUUAUUGGAAAAUCAAGAGUAUUUUCCAAAUGUUUCUACUCAUAUUCUACUAUAAUCACACCUUUUUUGCUACCACAUUUGUAAAUACUUCCCCAUUACUCCUUGAAAUUUCAGUUGACAAUUUUUUUUUAUUUUCCCAAUAGAUUUUAUGUAAUUUUAUUAGAAAAGUCAUAUGCUUUUUUUGCCCUGUGUACAUUAGAGUUCAAUUAUUUAGAUACUAAAUAAACUAUCCAUUACACAUUUACUUUAUAAUUCAGUAGAUAAGACUGAAGAAAAUAAGCCUGGCUAUGGAAAUGCUUAUUUGUUUGGGAGGAUGUUUGUCUGGAUCAAUGAUGAGCACAAUUGUCUGAGGAUGCUGAGGGACUCAUUCCAGAUGUCAAUCUGAGGUCCAGAUGAGUGGCCCUCUAAUAGGACAAAUAAGACUCUCAGAGCCUGGCUGUAUUUGAUGAUCCUAAGUGACAACACAAUACCACUGUGAGCAUGCCUUUUAUUUCUUUUGGUGCAGGGCAUUAGCCUUCUAUCUCAUGAAGCAGUAUGAAACUUUAGAUAUACUGUAUGACCCAAAACUUGCUUCAUUUUGUUCACUUUGAAUGGAGAGUUGUACGUAGGUAUUAGUAUAUAGGAAAUAUGUUCUUAAGUAAUAAAUGAGGAAACAAAAGAAAGGUUGAAUUAAGAGGUCAAGCAACUGUGACGAGUACUGAAAGUUUCACUAGUGUUGGCUGAAAGAAGGGAACACUGCAUACCUAUAUUAAAUAUUGACAAUGGAAUCAAUUUUAGUGUUUGUUAUUUUUCACUGUAGAAAUUUUUCAGAGACUGUGUCUUUGCUUUUCUUUCUGUCAUGUUUUUCUGAGUUAGACGGGGUGGAAUGAAGUCCUCCACUUCUAAGAAGAGCAGUGAGUAACUAUACCAGCUUUCUUUAAAUUCAUAUGUCAUGUGAUCUGUGCCAUACCCUAAGGUCUCUGUGUUCAUCUUUUCAAUGACUUUCUGGAGAAUAUUUUCAUUAUGUGUCCUUUUAUUUGGUAUCCACCCUCAUUUCCAAAUUGUAAAUUUUACUUUAUCAGAGUUUUGUGUGGAUUAACAAAAUGAAGAACUUUGGAAAAUUGUUUAGUUGUUUUGUUUUGUAUUGCAGUGAAAUACGAAUUAAGGUAUGCUUGGAAGUUCCCUUAAAAAUUACGAUGGUUUUGUAAUGUUGAUCCCAUGAUUAAGAUUAUCAUAGUCAGAUCAUUUUGGUCAGAUUUAUAAGAUCAUUAUGGAUCAUUAUUGCUACUUUUUUCAUCAUUGAGAUUUUACAUUAAUUAGAUAUUUUUGAUGUGGACAAUUAUAUGCUGGAUUUUAUGAGCUCUUUCUAAGGCCUUCAUUUAAUUGAUAAAUACCCAAACACAAUAAAGUUUUUCUAAAACACAAAACAGUUCAAUUUUCCAUAUAAUAUUUGUCUCAUAAAAGAUAUUAGGUUGAAUUAAUCAGGUGGAUAGAUAAUGAAAUUUCAUAUAUUAAAUUAUUAAUCAUUAUUUUCUGUUAAAUUUGAAACAUCCGUCAAUAAGGGAAAUAGUCUGUAUCUUCCUUGGCAUGAUUACAUAGAAGGUUUUAUGUUACCUUGAGGUUGGUGUUCAUACUUUGGGAAUAGGUAAAUGGUUUUUUUCUUGAUAAAGUUCUUGUCAUACAUUGUUUCAAUGAGAAAUUGUUUUUGUGUUCUCUUUAUGCUUAUAUAUGUGUUUAUGUAUGUAUGUAUUUUAAUGUGUGUAUUUAUUUCUCCAGAAUCUAGCAAGACAAUUCAAAUGAACUCAAUGAAUAAAAUAACCAUGAACACUAAUAAUUGUAACAUCAGAAAAUAAAAAAGCCCUACCAGAUACUGAAAUGGACUCUAAAACUUCCAUUAUUAAAAAAAAAAUUGAGAAAAAAUUGAGAAUGAAUGUAAAUGAAAGGAAUACUAGCACAUAAUUUGGUCUAAUAAAUAUGAUCCUACAAAUACCCACUUUUAUAUUUUACUAUCUGUAUAUUUAUAUAAUACUUACAUUAAUGUAUGUUUGCAGUGCAUAUCUGCUAUCUCAAAGUACCGAAGUAUAUCAACAUAUAAUAUUUAUGCUGUUAAGGGUAGGUAUUAAAAGUGUACUACCCAAUGUGUUUUUUUCUAAGUACUUUCUUCCAAGACUGGGAACAAGACAACAAUGUCCUCUCCCAUCGCUUCUAUUUAUAUUGUUCUGUACAGUAAUGACCAUGCAACAGGGCAAGAAAUGUAAAUAAAGGCAUAAAGAUCACAAAGUAAGAAACAAAGAUUUCUUUGCAGACAACUCAAUUACUUAUGUUAGAAAAUCCCAAAGAGCCUACAAUAACACUCCCAGAACUGAAAACUUAGUUUAGCAAGUUUGCAAGAUACAAGGCCAAUAUACAAAAGUCAAUUAUAUUACUAUAUAAUAGCAACAAACAAUUGAACUUUGAGAUAAAUCCCAUUUAUAAUAGCACAAAAAAUGAGGGACUUCUGUAAUGCAAUAAAAUAUGUACAGUAUCUUUGCAAAACACUGAUCAAGUUAUCAAAGAAGACCUAAAUAAAAGUAGAGAUAUAUUCUGUUUAUGGGUCAGAAGUUUCAAAAUAGUGGAACUGUCAGUUACCCCAAUUUCAUUUGUAGAUUCAGUAUAAUCCAAAUAAAAAAUAUUGCAAUUUCUUUGUAGAUAUCAACAAGGUCAUUCUAAAAUUAAUGUCAAAGGUAAAACAACUAUAAUAGCAAAAGAUAUUCUGAAAAACUUAUAAAGUCAGAGACUUUACACUAUGUUAUUUUAAGGCUUACUAUAAAACUAUAGUAAAAAUUAACACAUAGGGCAAAGAAGAUAAUAUCUGUUAAAGAUAGUCAUGGAGAAAGAUACCUGGGUGGUUUCUGGAAUGCUGGUAGUGUUUGUUUCUGGAUAUGUUUAUUGAUUACCUGCUGUUUUUGGAAGAUGCAAAUUUAUUGAUUUCUAUAAUUUAAUGCAUGCACUUUGCUGUAUCUAUAUUAUACUUCAAUUGAAAGUUUGAAAUAUCAAAUAAAACUAGUCUAAAUAUUGGUUAAUACACUUCUAGGAAUAUUGUCCUAUAGACUGAUGAUUGAUUUUUUUAGGGUGUGUCAAGAGUCUCUCUUUGGGGCACCUGGCUGGCUCGGUCACUAGAGUUUACUACUCUUGAUUUUUGGGGUUGUGAGUUCAAGCCCCACAUUGGGCAUAGAGCUAACUUUUAAAAAAAGAGUGUUAUCUCUUUAACACAGGCAUUUCAGCAAAUAAUAUCAGGUAGUAUUUUUUAUUCACAUUUUUUAUAUAAUUGAGUAUUUUUUCAUGUGUUUAUUUACAUAUCCAUUUUUCUCUUAUGAUAAUGUGCUUAGGUAUUCAGAAGUCUUAAUAUUGAAGGUAUUUUAUUCUUGUUACUUUUGACAUCAAAAUCUUUUUAAGUUAUUAUAAAUUCUGUUUUUUUUUUAUUUUAGUGUAUAUUUCUUUGAAUUUUAACAUGUGUGGAUUUUUGUAUUGAUGACCAAAAUCAGUAUACAGAACUGUUGUGUAUUUUGUCCUUUAACUCCCCAAAUUUCCUUAACCCUUUACAGUUAUAUCCUACUCCUGGUAUACACUAAUUAAUUUUCUCUAUUCCUAUGGUUUUGUCUUUUGGGAAUGUUAGAUAAAUGAAAUCAUACCUAAUGUAACUUUUAGGAUAUUUCACUAAGCAUCAUUCCCCUGAGAUACAUUGAAGCUAUAGUUUGAAUCAAUAGUCUCUUUUUUAUUGUAGAACAAUAUUCCAUUCUGUGGAUGUACACCAUUUAUUUAUCCAUUCAUCCAUUGAAUGGCAUUCGUGUUGUUUCCAGUUUGGGUCUAUUAUGAGUAAAACUGCUAUGAAAAUUCAUCUAUAGGUUUCUCUGCAAACCUAAGUUGUUUUCAAUAGCAGGGAUCAGCAAACUUUUUCUUGAAGUGUCAGAUAAUACACUGUCUAGAUUUCAGGUCCAUACAGUCCCUGUCGCAGAGUACACAUCUCAGUUACUGCAGCUUAAAUUAAUGAGUGUGGCUGUGUUCCCAUGAAACUUUACUUACAAAAGUGGCAGUUGGCCACUGGGACAUAUUUUGCCAACACUUGCUAUACAGUAAAUAUUCAUUAUUGAGUUUUGCUAUAUUGUGUGGUGAGUAUGUUUAAUUUAAUAGAAACUGCCUAAAUAUUUUCCUAAGUUUUGGGAUCAUUUUAUAUUCCUGACAGAAAUGCAUAGGACAUCCUGUUGCUCUGCAUCUUUAUGAGCACUUGGUACAGUCAAUAUGUUUUACUUUAGCCAUUUAAAAAUUUUUUGAUAUUUACUUAUUUUUGAAAGAGAGACAGAGUGCAAGUGAGGGGAGGGGCAGAGGGAGAGGGAGAGACAGAAUCUGAAGCAGGAUGUGCUGAUGGCUCAGAGCCUGAUGUGGGGCCCAAACCCAUGAACUGUGAGAUCAUGACCUGAGUGGAAGUCAGAUGCUUACCUGACUGAACCACCCAGGCACCCCUUACUUUAGCCAUUUUAAAAUGUGUGUGCAUAAUCUAACCAGAAAAUUAACAAGAAACCAGUGACUUUGAAUGACACACUGGACAAGAUGUACUUAACAGAUACAAGAAAAUGCAAGAAAAGCAUUUGACAACAUACAGCAUCCAUUCUUGAUAAUCACCCUCAACAAAGUAGGGAUAGAGGGAAGGUACCUCAACAUCAUAAAGGCCAUAUAUGAGAGACCCACAGCUAAUAUCAUCCUCGGGAAAAAAUAAGAGCUUUUCCCCUGCAGUCAACUUAUCCUAAGAAACAGAUUCUUACACAUUCUUUUCCAGUGCACAUGGAACAUUCUCCACAAUAGAUCACACACUGGGUCACAAAUCAGCCCUCAACCAGUACAAAGAGAUCAAGAUCAUUCUGUGCAUAUUUUUAGACCACAACACUAUGAAACUGGAAGUCAGCCACAAGAAAAAAAAUUGGAAAGACCACAAAUACAUGGAGGCUAGGGGCUAAAAUGGCUCAGUCAUUUAAGUGCCUGACUCUUGAUUUUGGCUCCAGUCAUGAACUAGUGAUUUUUGGGACCAAGCCCUAUGUUGGGCUCUGUGCCGACAGUGUGGAGACUGCUUGGGAUUGUCUGUCUCUUCCCUAUGCAACCCCCCCACCUCUCAAAAUAAAUAAAUAAAUAACAUAAAAAAUAGCAUCCUACUAAAGAAUGAAUGGGUCAAUCAGGAAAUUAAAGAAGCAAUUAAAAAAAGUACAUGGAAGCAAAUAAAAAUGAAAACAUGGCUGUCCAGAAUCUUUGGAAUGCAGCAAAGGCAGUCCUAAAAGGAAAGUAUAUUGCAAUACAGGCCUACCUCAAGAAGGAAGAAAAGUAUCAAAUACACAAUCUAACUUUAUACCUAAAAGAUCUAGAAAGGAACAGCAAAUAAAGCUUAAAGGCAGCCAAAGAAGUGAAAUAAUAAAGAUUAGAGCAGAAAUAAAAGAUACAGAAACAAACAAACAAAAAACAGUAGAACAGAUCAAUGAAACUAAAAGCUGGUUCUAUGAAGAAUUAAUAAAAUUGAUAAACCCCUUGCCAGAAUUUUCAAAAAGGAAAGAGAAAGGACCCGAAUACAUAAAAUCACAAAUGAAAGGGGAGAUAUUAUAACAAAUACCACAGAAAUACAAAUGAUCAUAAGGGAAUAUUAUUAAAAAUUAUAUAAAAUAAACUUUGGAAGGGCAAUUUGGAAGAAAUGGGAAAAUUUCUAGAAAAAUACAAACUACCAAAAUUUAAACAGGAGAAAUAGAAAAUUGUAACAGACCCAUAAACAGCAAAUAAAUUGAAUCAGUAAUCAAAAAUCCCCCAAUAGGGGCCUUUGGGUGGCUCAGUUGGUUGAGUAUCGACUUCGGCUCAAGUCAUGAUCUCAGAGUUUGUGAGUUUGAGCCCCACAUCAGGCUUGCUGCUGUCAGUGCAGAGCCUGCUUCAGAUCUUCUGUCUCCCUCUCUCUCGGCCCCUACCCUGUUUAUAUUCUUCUCUCUCAAAAAUAAAAUGUUAAAAAAAAUCUCCUCAUAAACAAAAGGCCAGGGCCCAAUGAAUUCCCAAGGCAGUUUUACCAGACAUUUAAAGAAGGUGUAAUACCUGGGACAAAACAUAAGAGACUCUGAAAUAUGGAGAACAAACUGAGGGUCAUUGGAGGGGUUGUGGGAGGGGGGAUAGACUAAAUGGGUAAGGGGCAUUAAGGAAUCUACUCCUUAAAUCAUUGUUGCACUAUAUGCUAAUUAACUUGGAUGUAAAUUUAAAAAAAUAAAUUAAAAAAUAAUGAAUAGGUAAUACCUUUCUUCUCAUAUUGUUCCAAAAAAUAUAAAUGGAAGAAAAACAUCCAAAAGUCUUCUAUGAAGUUAGCAUUACCUUGAUCCCAAAACCAAAGACCCCACUAAAAAGGAGAAUUACAGGCCAAUAUCCCUGAUGAAAAUGGAUGCAAAAAUUCUCAACAAGAUACUAGAAAAUCAAAUACAACAGUACAUUAGAGGAAUUAUUCACCACAGUGGGGUUUAUUCCUGGGCUUUCAGGGCUGGUUCAAUAUUCACAAAUCAAUCAGUGUAAUACACCACAUUGAUAAAAUAAUGGAUAAGAACCCUAUGGUCAGGAAAAAGGCAGGAAUGUCCAGUCUCACCAGUACUAUUUAACAUAGUCCUGGAAGUCUUAGCCUCAGUACCCAAACAAAAAGAAAUAAAAGAGAUGCACAUUGGCAAGGAGGAAGUCAAACUUUCGCUAUUUGCAGAUGAUGUGAUGCUCCAUGUAGAAAACCCAAAAGGCUCCACCAAAAAAAUUGAUAGAACUAACACUUGAAUUCAGCAAAGUCACAGGAUAUAGAAUCAACAUACAGAAAUAUGUUGAAUUUUAGGGGCGCCUGGGUGGCUCAGUCGGUUAAGUGGCUGACUUCGGCUCAGGUCAUGAUCUUGUGGUCCGUGAGUUCGAGCCCCGCAUUGGGCUCUGUGCUGAUAGCUCAGAGCCUGGAACCUGCUUCUGUUUCUGUGUCUCCCUCUCUCUCUGCCCCUUCCCCAUUCACGCUCUGUCUCUCUCUGCCUUUCAAAAAUGAAUAAGUGUUAAAGAAAAAAAAAGAAAUAUGUUGAAUUUUAUACACAAAUAAUGAAGCAGCAGAAAAAGAAAAGAAUCAAUCCCAGUUACAAUGACAUCAAAACCCAUAAGAUACCUAAGAAUAAACCUAACCAAAGAGGUAGAAGAUCUGUACUUUGUAUUUUUUUAAUUAAUUAAUUAAUUAAUUAAUAGUGAGAGAAAGGAAGAGGCAGAGAGCGGGGAUUGGUGUGGGAAAGAAUCCCAAGCAGACUCCACACUAUCAGUGCAGAGUCUGAUGUAGGGCCUGAACUCACGAACUGAGAUUAUGACCAGAGCCAAAGUCAAGAGUGGGAUGCUCUACUGACUGAGCUACCCACACUCUCUGAAGAUCAAGAAAUGGAAACAUUCUGUGUUCAUGGGUUGGAAGAACAAUCAUUUUUAAAAUAUCUAUACUACCAAAAGCAAUCUACACGUUUAAUGCAAUCCCUAUUAAAAUACCACCAACAUUUUUUCACAGAUCUAGAACAGAUAAUCCUAAAAUUUGUAUGGAAUCACAAACACACACACACACACACACACACACACACACACACACAUACACACACAGCACAAAUAUCCCAAGCAAUCCUGAAAAGGUAAAGAAAAGCUGGAGGCAUCAUGAUUCCGGACUUCAAGCUAUAUUACAAAGCUGUAGUCAUCAAGACAGUAUGGUACUAGCACAAAAAUAGACACAUAUACAUCAAUGGAACAGAAUAGAAAACCCAGAAAUGGACCCACAGCUAUAUUUUCAAGUAACCUUCGACAAAGCAGGAAAGAAUAUCCAAUGGGAAAAAAGACAGUCUCUUCAAAUGGUUUUGGGAAAACUGGACAGCAACAAGCAGAAGAAUGAAACUGGACUGUUUUCUUAUACCAUACACAAAAAUAAAUUCGAGAUGGGUGAAAGCUAAAUGUGAGACCAUAAAGCAUGAAAAUCAAGAGGAGAACAUAGACACCAACGUCUUUGACCUCAGACAUAGCAACUUCUUCCUAGACACAUCACUAGAUGCAAUGGAGACAAAAGCAAAAAUAAACUGUUGGGACUUCAUCAAGAUUAAAAGCUUCUACACAGUGAAGGAAAAAAAUCAACAAAAAUAAAAGGCAGCCUACAGAAUGGGACAGGACAUUUGUAAAUGACCUAUCUGAUAAAGGCUAGUAUGCAAAAUCUAUAAUGUGCUUAUCAAACUCAGAACCUAAAAAACAAAUAAUCCAGUUAAGAAAUGGACAGAAGACAUGAAUAGACAUUUUUCCAAAGAAGACAUCCAGAUGACUAACAGACAAAUGAAAAGAUGCUCAUCAGGGAAAUACAAAUCAAAACCAUAAUGCAAUACCACCUCACACAUGUCAGAACGGCCACAAUUAACCACACAAGAAACCACAGAUGUUGGUGAGGAUGAGGAGAAAGGGGAACCCUAUUGCACUGUUGGUGGGAAUGCAAACUGGUGCAGCCACUUUCAAACAGGGAGGUUCCUCAAAAAAAAUAGAACCACCCUACAACAUAGCAAUUGCAUUACUAUUUACCCAAAGUAUACAAAAGUACAGAUUUAAAAGUGUACAUACACUCUGAUGUUUAUAGCAGCAUUUUCAACAAUAGUCAAACUAUGGUAAGAGCCCAAAGAUGAAUGAGUGUGUGUGUGUGUGUGUGUGUGUGUGUGUGUGUGU